UACGUAGGGGGCAAGCGUUGUCCGGAUUUAUUGGGCGUAAAGAGCGUGUAGGCGGCCAAACAGGUCCACUGUGAAAACUCGAGGCUCAACCUCGAGAGGUCGGUGGAAACCGUGUGGCUAGAGUCCGGAAGAGGAGAGUGGAAUUCCCGGUGUAGCGGUGAAAUGCGCAGAUAUCGGGAAGAACACCCGUGGCGAAGGCGACUUCCUGGCCUGUUCUUGACGCUGAGGCGCGAAAGCUAGGGUAGCAAACGGG
rnacentral:rRNA from 1 species